rnacentral:lncRNA from 1 species
CAGCAAAAUAGGGACUCAGGCAAACUGGGUCCUAGAACUGACUGAUCACAGCCGGCAGUGUGACCUCACUGUCCUCAGUGAUCUCGUCCAUAGCAGCUGAGGAUGAGGGUUUCGGACUCAGGUGGUGGUGAGUUAGAAGAAAGGAAGCCUCGGAGGCUAGCUGAAAUAAAAGUAGAUUUGCUGUAAGGAUAUGGCGGGGAGUCUCACUAAAGACGGGAAGCAAAGUCUCACCAGGCUACAUGGCCCUGGAACCAGAAAGUUCUCUCAGCCUCUCCUGGGUCCUCAAGGCCCCUGGCCCUGCCUCUCGGUGAGUGUGAUCCGGUUUUACUGUCCCCUCCACAGCCCCGCUGUCUGUGCUCACUCAGGGCUUCUCUGCUCCAGGUACAUUGUAGCUUUGCUCUGCUUUGGGACCCGGCUCCAGCAGUGCCUUUCUCUGAUCUUUCCUGGUGAUACACCCCUCUUCGUCUUCCUGCUUCAGGCUGUGUUCACCUUGGUUCAAGAGGAGGUGUGUGUGGGGUGAGUGGCCACGUGGUACAAACUCAACAGCCAGAGCUGUGGGUGGAGACAGAGUCUCCGAGGGUGUGAGGUGGGAGCCGGUGAUUGGCCAGUCCGCCACUCUUGGAUCUUGAGAGGGUCUUGGUUACAGGUUCCAUAAUUCUACCACCUUUGUUGUUUCUGUUACGGUUACCAACUUGAGAGAGCGUGCCUCGAAAGGCAUUGAGAUUGAAUUCCAGCCUGACAGCAACGAGGUGUUUUUCAGAGAUUGCAAGCCCCUUUUGGCAGGGUGAAAGCGCAGCUUAAGCUGCAGGCCGCAGAGCGAGCUGUUUGUUGUUGUUCCUCCACUAACGCUGACUGUACACAAGAGGCUGCCUUCACCUUGGGGCCAGCAGACUUGGAGGGAGCCAUGCAGAUUAGCGAACGCACCUGACGAAAACAGGAUGUAUUUUAUUACAAAGGGCAGUUUUGAGAUGAAAACAUGAUCGGAGGGGCUAAGUUAAUUUUUCAAAGUCACAAAGCUAACAAAUGGCUUCCAGUGGAGGAGGAACAGUAUGAUUUCAAAGCCAGUGCUCCAUCCACUCUAUCAGGAGAGUUCUCCCAAAAGAAAUGUGACUGUGUGAGGGCAAGGCCAAAGUCCUAAGGGUCUUGGCUCAUCUCCCAUUGGGUCAUCGUGUGCUUCCGG